GCAGAAAAACCACUCAACGGAACCCCUUGCUGUUGAAUGAACAGUUCCUAUGCAUUCUCGACCGAGCCUUCUCAUUCCUUGCCUCUAAAUGACCGCGACACAACCCUGUGAUCCUUCCAACAGAGCAGGGACUUCCAACAAAGCACUGCGCGACCGCGACCGACAGCUCCUCCAGUCCCAUCAAAAGCUGGUGCGGGUUCCAGAAAGCAAAUAAGUAUUUACCCUAUGCUGUGUGCAAGCUGAAGCAAAAGAGUCUCUUCAGAGGUACCCACUUGAACAUAGAUUCUCACCACAUCUAAUAGCACAGCCACGAGGUCACGGAGAAGUGUGUGGCUGUAUACGUACAUACGUAGGUGAUUCACGACUGACAGCUACUGUUAUAAACAAACUCUUCUUUCCCAGGCUACCAUAACACCGAGCAAAGGUUAUUUCAGCUAAAUCACAAGAACGUCAAGGGGAAAAGAUGCUGCCCACCAAGGGGCCGCUGAAGGGUAGCAAACACUGAGUAGAAGGCUAAGAUGUCCUUUAAGUUCUGGCUAUACAAUAGAUUUCGCCUAGGUCUUUUUCUCCCAGUGUAAUAUAUUAGCCUUAAUGACUUCCAAGGCUAACCUCAUUUCACACCGACAUCGGGUCUAAGAUUACUUUCAAGUGAACUCCUUAAUGGCCUCGCAUUGUCACUAAGACAACUCAUGCUAAACCUCAGAAAUAAAUAAGUUUAAACCCACCUUAUAAAUGUCUUCUGUAACUUAGGCUAACCCUUUGGCCUCACCAGCCUGUACUAAAAACUGACUACAGGCGGGGACCAUGCUGAGGUCACCAGUGGGGCAGCCACGCUAUCAGCCUCACUCAGACCACCUGAGAAAGCAGAGGACCUGCAGACAGAACUGAGCUCAGUGACCAAAGAUGGACAACUGUCAGUCUAGGUUCCGAAAGCUUCAGAUAAGGGGGCCUGCAGGCUGGUGAAGACAUCAGAGUGCCGGAGGAGGCGCACGGAACACAGAACUCCACAUCGUCACCCUCGUUCCGCGUCUCUUCUGAUCCUCUUGUUUUAGGGGAUUACUGAACUUUGGGGUGGCUGAGCAUGAACUCUUACAGCCGGUUGGCUGUAUUUGUCUCUGAAGUGAGGCACAGGGUGACUCCUUCCAAUGAACACCUUAAUGACCACACUGUCACUUCAGGCAACUCAUGCUAACCUGAAGAUGCAAAUUAAAUGGAAAGCACUUAAUUUGGGGGAUUCUGCUCUAAGCCUGGGUCAUCAGGACCAAACUGCUGGACACCCACCCGGCUGGUGUCUGAGAACGACUGUUCGAUGAGUAGGGGAGACAUAAGCUCUAAUGCAAACGCUGUACCCACAGAUCUGCCGCCACACUCUAGGCCGAAGCUGUAAAGCCCCCGUGGGAGGUAAAUGGGAAAACCCUCUAGGAAUAAGCACCCAAUUUACUACUUAGAGCAAAUAUUUAUCUGUUUUUAAGAGUUUGCUAUAUGCAAGAGGCAAAG